UCUCUCUCUGUGUGGCUCGCUCCGUCGCUCGCUUUGCCAAUUCAUCUCUCUCUCUCUCUCUCCAAUUUCUUCGUCAUCAAGAUUCUCGAAGCUGACUUCGCUCGCGGUCGCUGUUCGAUUGGCCAAUCCCCUCGUUGCUCAAUCUCGCCGGCGGUGCCCCCCAUCUCGAGACUUCUGGCGUGGACGGAGCUUCCGGGUUGCGGCGGUUGUGUUGGCCCGUUGGCUGCAGCGAAAACCCUAGUGCUCUGCUUCGCGGCUGAGGAAGCUUGCGGUUGAAAUACGAUUGCUGCUGGUGUUUUCGGUUUGUUGUGGGGAAGGAGCUGAAAUUGGUGAAGUGACGAGUGGGGGCGAGCUGAGGAUCGCGAGCAUGGGCUCUGAGAAGCAGUCCAUGGGUUUCCUGGACACGCUUAAAAUGGAGCGAAUGAGGACUAUUCUGACACACACUUAUCCCUACCCUCACGAGCAUUCGAGGCAUGCUGUAAUUGCUGUAGCUGUCGGUUGCCUAUUCUUCAUAUCUUCGGACAAUAUGCACACUCUUAUUGAGAAGUUGGAUAACAACAUCAAGUGGUGGUCCAUGUAUGCUUGCUUGCUUGGUUUCUUCUAUUUCUUUUCGUCUCCAUUCGUUGGGAAGACCAUCAAGCCAAGUUAUUCGAAUUUCAGCAGAUGGUACAUUGCGUGGAUUUUAGUGGCGGCUCUGUAUCAUCUUCCCAGUUUUCAGUCAAUGGGAGUGGAUUUGAGGAUGAAUUUGUCUUUAUUUUUGACAAUUUAUGUCUCCUCCAUUAUAUUCCUUGCUGUCUUCCAUAUAAUAUUCCUUGGUCUUUGGUAUAUUGGACUUGUAUCUCGUGUGGCUGGAAAAAGGCCGGAGAUUUGGACCAUACUGCAGAAUUGCGCGGUUCUAAGCAUUGCCUGCUGUGUAUUUUAUAGCCACUGCGGCAACCGUGCUAUUCUGAAGCAAAGGCCAUUUGAGCGAAAAAGUUCUGGUUGGUUCUCUCUUUGGAAGAAAGAAGAAAGGAACACAUUGAUCUCGAAAUUCCUUCGGAUUCAUGAGUUUAAGGACCAGAUUUGCUCAUCUUGGUUUGCACCGGUUGGGUCUGCUAAUGAUUAUCCACUUUUGUCGAAGUGGGUCAUAUACGGGGAGGGCUCGGGUACUUCUGAUGAAAUUUCUCCUUUGUACUCAUUAUGGGCAACCUUUAUAGGCCUUUACAUUGCCAACUAUGUUGUGGAAAGGUCAACAGGGUGGGCUCUCACUCACCCUUUAUCAGUUCAAGAAUUUGAAAAGUCGAAGAAAAAGCAAAUGAAACCAAACUUUUUGGACAUGGUUCCCUGGUAUUCUGGAACUUCAGCUGACCUUUUCAAGACAAUGUUUGACCUCCUAGUGUCAGUAACAGUCUUUGUUGGCCGUUUUGACAUGCGCAUGAUGCAGGCAGCAAUGAACAAGGUCGAAGAUGGAGUUGAGCAGGAUUUUUUCUAUGACCACUUCAGUGAAAAAGAUGAUUUUUGGUUUGAUUUCAUGGCUGAUACUGGUGAUGGUGGGAACUCUUCUUACAGCAUUGCACGGCUACUGGCUCAGCCUUCACUUAAUGUGACGACCAGUGAUUCUAUGCUUUCCUUACCACGAGGGAACUUGCUUCUUAUUGGGGGUGAUCUUGCAUAUCCAAAUCCUUGCGCAUUUACUUACGAAAAGAGGUUCUUUCGUCCUUUUGAGUGUGCUCUUGAGCCUCCACCUUGGUACAAACUAGAGCAGAUCGCUGUGAACAAGCCUGAAAUUCCAUCUGGAUUAUCUGAGCUAAAGCAAUAUGAUGGGCCCCAGGCUUUCCUAAUUCCUGGAAAUCACGAUUGGUUUGAUGGACUUCAUACUUUCAUGAGGUACAUAUGUCAUAAGAGUUGGUUAGGUGGGUGGUUGAUGCCUCAGAAAAAGAGUUAUUUUGCUUUGCAACUCCCUAAAAAUUGGUGGGUAUUUGGCCUUGAUCUGGCACUCCAUGGCGAUAUUGAUGUGUACCAAUUUAAAUUCUUCUCAGAGCUGGUAAAGAAGAAGGUUGGGGAUGAGGAUUCAGUGAUCAUACUUACACAUGAACCUAACUGGCUUCUUGAUUGGUACUGGAAUGGUGUUUCUGGAAAGAACUUCUCUCAUUUGAUCUGUGAUUAUUUGAAGGGGAGAUGUAAACUUCGUAUUGCUGGGGACUUGCAUCAUUAUAUGCGUCACUCGUAUGUACCUUCAGAUAGGCCAGUUUAUGUGCAACAUCUACUUGUGAAUGGUUGUGGUGGGGCAUUUUUACAUCCAACCCAUGUGUUUGGAAACUUCAAGGAAUACUGUGGAGCUACUUAUGAGACCAAGGCUUCUUAUCCAUCUUUUGAAGAUUCUAGCAGGAUUGCUUUGGGGAAUAUCUUGAAAUUUCGGAAGAAAAACUGGCAGUUUGAUAUUAUUGGUGGUAUUAUCUACUUCGUGCUGGCUUUUUCUAUGUUCCCACAAUGUAAUCUCAAUCACAUGUUACAAGGUGACUCUGUUUCUGGUCAUUUGAGGAGCCUUUUUGUCACUGUAUGGGCCGCUUUUAAGUACUUGCUGGGACAGUCUUAUGUAUCACUAGCGGGUGCUUUGCUAUUGUUAAUUGUAUCUGUCACAUUUGUACCAUCAAAAGUGUCACGGAAGAGACAAGUGAUGAUUGGCGUACUUCAUUUUUUUGCGCACUUGACUGCUGCACUAAUUCUUAUGCUACUGCUGGAACUGGGUGUAGAGACCUGCAUCAGGCAUAAACUUUUGGCUACUUCAGGUUAUCACACAUUGUACCAGUGGUACCGAACUGUAGAGAGUGAGCACUUUCCAGAUCCAACAGGCCUUCGAGCUCGUAUAGAACAAUGGACAUUGGGUCUAUAUCCUGCUUGCAUCAAAUAUCUCAUGUCCGCCUUCGAUGUCCCUGAGGUCAUGGCUGUAUCAAGGACAAACAUUUGCGAGAAGGGAAUGGAAUCAUUGUCACGUGGCGUUGCUGCAAUAUAUUAUGCUUCUGUGUUUCUCUAUUUCUGGGUCUUUUCCACUCCUGUUGUCUCUCUAGUUUUUGGAAGCUACUUAUAUAUUUGCAUUAACUGGCUUCAUUUACACUUCGAUGAGGCCUUCUCCUCACUUCGAAUUGCUAAUUACAAGGGAUUUACACGAUUCCACAUAAACAGUGAAGGUGAUCUUGAAGUCUAUACCCUAGUAGUUGAUAAGGUUCCGAAGGAAUGGAAGCUGGAUCCUGAUUGGGAUGGAGAACCAAAACAGCCACAGCAGUUAAGCCACCUUAGGGAGUUUCCUAGUAAGUGGAGCUCCGCAGCUCCCUUACUGGACCCAGUAAAAACAGUAAGAAUUGUUGACCACUUUAUCAUAAAUCGGAUGGUGAAAACUCAUUCAGAAGCCUGUAAUGGUUCAGUAAAUCGCUAACGAUAUCGCUCAGUUGGGUAUAAAAAUCCAAUACCUGAUCAUUCUCAAGACGAAGGCAAGGGAUUUAGUCUUAUACAGCAACGGUUGGAAAUCUGUAUGUCUUAUACCAUGUAAACUUUGCGAGUGUGAUUUGAGGUGUUUCAACUCUGGCAUGUGCUCUCCACAUUUUCGCUUUUCCUGGCAUGGGAGAGAACAUGAUCAAGGCUGACCUAGCACGAGACAUGAACAUGAUCAAGAGAGUCAAUCUUGAAAAGGCCUAUUCUCUCACUGUGCGAUUGGUUAUUGAUCGCAUGACUCUUUCAUCGAAUCAAAAUCAGUGAUGGAUGUUUGCUGCCUUGCUUCUGACACUUCAUGAGAUCGAGUCACUCAUUUAGGUGACGCUUGCAACAGCCAAGGUGACUACAACUUAUUAGAGAAAGCAAGAGAAGCUAUUCGAUUCUUUCAUAUUUAGCUGAUAAGAUUGGAAUAAGGGAGAAUUACAUUUAAAUGCUGCUUUGAUUGCUAGAAGGAUAAAGAGAUACAUUGAAGAAGGAAAGAGUGAAAAAAUUGAGGAGUACAACAAAGUCAGAGGUACAACAGAGCUUAGAGUGAAAGAUACUUGCUACAACUACAAGCAAUUUACUUAUGGUCUAUAUUUCUGUAGUUAGACCGUGCACUUAUUCAUUGUUCAUUGGGGGGCUUUCAAAUGGCCCUCAUUUUGGAAUUGAAGCUCAGAAAUACUCCGGGGGAAUUAGGCUUCCAGUUAAAACGUCCAGUACUCUAAUUUUUGCAACUGGAAUUGUAUGUGAGAAUCUGAAGGUAAUUGAUUAGAAGUUUCCAUGAUUUAUUUUGA